AUGCCAGUUUUAUUCUUUGUGAAGAGCUCGCGGUCAGUGACGAUCGACAUUCUUUGUGCUCAGCCGGAGACGACGACGGGCGUAAGCAGCGGUGCGCCGGCGAAGAAGGCCUCCAGGUUGCCGGCAACGAGGCGGUCGAGGUCGGCUAUGGACUCCGGGGUGAACGCGGCCCGGUGGGGCGUCAGCACGACGUUGUCCAUGGCCAGCAGCUCCGCCGGCACGUCCGGCUCGUCCUCGAACACGUCCAGCCCGGCGCCCGCGAGCCUGCCCUCCGCGAGCGCCCUCACCAGCUCCGCCUCGUCCACGUUCGGGCCGCGCGCCACGUUCACCACCACGCCGCCGCUCCCCAGCUCGUCCAGCACGCGCCUGUCGACGACGUGA
rnacentral:rRNA from 1 species